rfam:Triticum aestivum genome assembly, contig: Triticum_aestivum_CS42_TGACv1_scaffold_129942_2BL
UACAUACUCCCUCCGUCCGAAAAUAUCUGUCAUCAAAAUGGGUAAAAAGAGAUGUAUCUAGAACUAAAAUACGUCUAGAUACAUCCUUUUUUAUCCAUUUUGAUGACAAGACGGAGGGAGUACAUA